rnacentral:rRNA from 1 species
GUCCACGCCCUAAACGAUGCUUACUCGACGUAUGAAGCUAGACUUUGUGCGUCCAAGGGAAACCGUUAAGUAAGCCACCUGGGGAGUACGACCGCAAGGUUGAAACUCAAAGGAAUUGACGGGGUCCGCACAAGCGGUGGAGCAUGUGGUUUAAUUCGAUGAUACGCGAGGAACCUUACCUGGGCUAGAAUGCGAGUGACGGAUCGGGAAAACCGGUCUUUUCUCGGAACACAAAAGCAAGGUGCUGCAUGGCUGUCGU